ACGAUCGAAUAGAACCUGUGAAAGUACCGGUCCUCGUCCGAUCACCGAAGUUAAGCUACGUUGGGCCGGGUUAGUACUUGCAUGGGUGACCGGCUGGGAAUACCCGGUGUUGCUGGCA
rnacentral:rRNA from 1 species